GGGCGAUUAGCUCAGUUGGGAGAGCAUCUGCCUUACAAGCAGGAGGUCGGCGGUUCGAGCCCGUCAUCGCCCACCA
rnacentral:tRNA from 1 species